rnacentral:rRNA from 1 species
AUACGGAAGGUGCAAGCGUUACUCGGAAUCACUGGGCGUAAAGCGCGCGCAGGCGGGCUGAUAAGUUGGAUGUGAAAGCCUACGGCUCAACCGUAGAACUGCAUCCAAAACUGUCAGUCUAGAGUGUGGGAGAGGAAGAUGGAAUUAGUUGUGUAGGGGUAAAAUCCGUAGAGAUAACUAGGAAUACCAAAAGCGAAGGCAAUCUUCUGGAACACUACUGACGCUGAGGCGCGAAGGCGUGGGGAGCAAACAGGAUUAGAAACCCCAGUAGUCC